GAGGGGAGGUGCUUGUCUGCAAUCCUCUCUGGAAGAAAGGCCAAAAGAAGGCUCUUAACUCCUUUUCAACUUGCUGUCAGCGUGAGACGUCACUUAGAUUCUGGCACAGCCUUUAGGCAAAGGCCAGACGGUGCCAGCAGCACCCCCAGCUUUCUAACCUGCAGGUAAAUGGAGACAUUUCGUUUCGAGCCUCAAUGCUUCCCUACCAUGUCAUGAACGAAAAUGCCAUCCAAGAAGCCCCCUGGACAAACUGGACAAAGCCUCUCAACAGCAUUUCAAUAUAGUUCUCCAUUUGUAAACCAGGAACAACCUGACUCCACUCAUGCUGUAAAAUUAGGAAUAUAAUUUGGAGGAGGUGUGUGAAUACCAAAACCAACCUGACACAUGAAGCCCUGCACAGAAUCUGAGACAAGGAAUGGAGUUACUAACCUGAGAGGUCAGUAACGCUCCUGGCAUUUACCUGAGAAGGUAAAACUGACGUUCAUCAGGAACCAAAAGGAAGGACAAGUACAUCUUGCAUUGGCCUGGAGCAGGCAGCUGAUGUAACUGUAAGAGAAAGGGUCUGCUGCCACACGCUCUGACAAGAACUAAGAAGUUGCAAUGGUUUUUAUUAACAAAAAGCUAGUGAGAAAGCCAAGGAACUUGGGUUUUUCAAAUCAGUUUUUCCUGGGUCCAUGGUUUGUACAUACAAUUGCAGUUUCAGUCACUGUCUUCAUGCUCAAAAGCAGGCGUCAAGGCACCUGACAUGGCAGGCAGCUAGGGCUGCAAGAAAGGAGCCACCAAAACGUUCCCGUACUAUUCAUACUAUUAAAAUGCCAAUGAACACCACCAGCAGCUUCAGUGCCACUUUGUUUUUAAAAAGUAAUCACAAGUAUGACAAUUCACCAGGCUCUGCAACUCAAAAAAUUUUAUGCAGGAGCAAAUUCAAAUAUUUUCAGCAAACUGCACUUGAUUCUGUCCAAAUGCUUCCUUUCAAGUCCAAGGGAGAGACAGGCAUUUUAUCAUUGUUCCAUACAAAGUGAAUGUUCCUGUCAUUGAUGGUGUAAGGGGAAAACAUGCUUUUCUGUAGCCAGAGAGGCCUCUGCCAUCUGAUCUGCUCCUAUGCACAGCAACAGCUGAAUAAAUGGUGCAUCAAGUCCCCAAACUUGUUUAAAUAAAGUACAUCAUAACUAGCUCAGAGAUACGGGCUCAAAACGUUAAGGUGCCUUUAUGCAUGGUCUUUGCUUGCAUAGAGAAUGAAGCUUAUAGUACAGCUGAAUCCUUACUUAAGAGGAUGCGUACAUCCAGCUCUCUCUCCUGUAUGGCACCUUGUGCACGGGCACUUUCCAACGACAUAGUUCUAGACCUCCUCAAAAAACCCUCCGCAAAUCUUGUUUCUUUUUAGUGAACCUAGGAAUAAAACCUUUAAACAUGAA